ACGUGGGCAACCUGCCUGUAAGUUGGGGAUAACUCCGGGAAACCGGGGCUAAUACCGAAUGAUAGAAUGUGGCGCAUGCCACGCUUUUGAAAGAUGGUUUCGGCUAUCGCUUACAGAUGGGCCCGCGGUGCAUUAGCUAGUUGGUAGGGUAAUGGCCUACCAAGGCAACGAUGCAUAGCCGACCUGAGAGGGUGAUCGGCCACACUGGGACUGAGACACGGCCCAGACUCCUACGGGAGGCAGCAGUAGGGAAUCUUCCGCAAUGGACGAAAGUCUGACGGAGCAACGCCGCGUGUAUGAAGAAGGUUUUCGGAUCGUAAAGUACUGUUGUUAGAGAAGAACAAGGAUAAGAGUAACCGCUUGUCCCUUGACGGUAUCUAACCAGAAAGCCACGGCUAACUACGUGCCAGCAGCCGCGGUAAUACGUAGGUGGCAGGCGUUGUCCGGAUUUAUUGGGCGUAAAGCGCGCGCAGGCGGUCUUUUAAGUCUGAUGUGAAAGCCCCCGGCUUAACCGGGGA
rnacentral:rRNA from 1 species